CUUUUCUUUACUGAUCUUUAGUUCAGCCUUAAUAGCUACUGCCUAGAAAAAAAAAUUUUUUCUGGCCAAGAUUUUUUACCCUAGCAAAGCUAUUGCUGAUCCAGCUCGUUCCAGCCAUUAGAUAGCUCGGCUCCACUCGGCCGCUUCUGCCUGCCUGCCUGCAUUCCUGCCUCCGCUCCAGACCUGCUUGCUAUUUGACCCAGACUGCCCCUCACCUGCCUGCCCUUCCCGGCUGGCUCAGCUCAGCUCCUGUUCCCAGCGUCUGGACCUGUUUUGACCCAGAUCUGGAUCACCUGGUAAUCCACCACCCCCUGGCUCAGCAAACUCUAGCCUCGGAGCAGAUUGCUCAUCACCUCAGGCCCAGGACUCAUUUCUACCAGCUUGUAAAGAUGGGGAGUGGAUUGUGGCCAGAUAUGAAGAGGAAAUGGAUCUCAUUUUUGUGUCAUUUCUAAGACAGAAGAGCAAGAUCUUCGCAAACAGGAUUAAGGAUUUAACCAAGAAGAUAUUUGAGGCCAUAUUUGAAGCCAGAUCCUCCUGACUCCAGACUUGGCACUCCAUCCACUGUGCCACCUAGCUGCACCAGCAAUCAUUUAAGGACCUGCUAUGUUCCAGAUCAGGCAGGUGCUGAGUUCCCAUCUGCCUUCAGACGUUUGCUAGCUGUGUGACCCU
rnacentral:lncRNA from 1 species